rnacentral:rRNA from 1 species
CCUACGGGUGGCAGCAGUAGGGAAUAUUGCUCAAUGGGGGAAACCCUGAAGCAGCAACGCCGCGUGGAGGAUGAAGGUUUUCGGAUUGUAAACUUCUUUUGUUAGAGAAGAUAAUGACCGUAUCUAAUGAAUAAGCACCUGCUAAAACCGUGCCAGCAGCCGCGGUAAUACGGAGGGUGCAAGCGUUAGUCGGAAUCACUGGGCGUAAAGCGCGUGUAGGCGGGAUAGCAAGUCAGAUGUGAAAUCCUAUGGCUUAACCAUAGAACUGCAUUUGAAACUGUUAUUCUAGAGUGUGGGAGAGGUAAGUGGAAUUCGUGGUGUAGGGGUAAAAUCCGUAGAGAUCAGGAGGAAUACUCGUUGCGAAGGCGACCUGCUAGAACAUAACUGACGCUGAUGCGCGAAAGCGUGGGGAGCAAACAGGAUUAGAUACCCGUGUAGUC